UGGGGAAUUUUGGACAAUGGGCGAAAGCCUGAUCCAGCAAUGCCGCGUGUGUGAAGAAGGCCUUCGGGUUGUAAAGCACUUUUGUCCGGAAAGAAAUCCUUGGCUCUAAUACAGUCGGGGGAUGACGGUACCGGAAGAAUAAGCACCGGCUAACUACGUGCCAGCAGCCGCGGUAAUACGUAGGGUGCAAGCGUUAAUCGGAAUUACUGGGCGUAAAGCGUGCGCAGGCGGUUUGCUAAGACCGAUGUGAAAUCCCCGGGCUCAACCUGGGAACUGCAUUGGUGACUGGCAGGCUAGAGUAUGGCAGAGGGGGGUAGAAUUCCACGUGUAGCAGUGAAAUGCGUAGAGAUGUGGAGGAAUACCGAUGGCGAAGGCAGCCCCCUGGGCCAAUACUGACGCUCAUGCACGAAAGCGUGGGGGAGCAAACAGGAUUAGAUACCCUGGUAGUCCACGCCCUAAACGAUGUCAACUAGUUGUUGGGGAUUCAUUUCCUUAGUAACGUAGCUAACGCGUGAAGUUGACCGCCUGGGGAGUACGGUCGCAAGAUUAAAACUUAAAUGAAUUGACGGGGU
rnacentral:rRNA from 1 species